GUGGGGAAUUUUGGACAAUGGGCGCAAGCCUGAUCCAGCAAUGCCGCGUGCAGGAAGAAGGCCUUCGGGUUGUAAACUGCUUUUGUACGGAACGAAACGGUCCUGGUUAAUACCUGGGGCUAAUGACGGUACCGUAAGAAUAAGCACCGGCUAACUACGUGCCAGCAGCCGCGGUAAUACGUAGGGUGCAAGCGUUAAUCGGAAUUACUGGGCGUAAAGCGUGCGCAGGCGGUUUUGUAAGACAGGCGUGAAAUCCCCGGGCUCAACCUGGGAAUGGCGCUUGUGACUGCAAGGCUGGAGUGCGGCAGAGGGGGAUGGAAUUCCGCGUGUAGCAGUGAAAUGCGUAGAUAUGCGGAGGAACACCGAUGGCGAAGGCAAUCCCCUGGGCCUGCACUGACGCUCAUGCACGAAAGCGUGGGGAGCAAACAGGAUUAGAAACCCCAGUAGUCC
rnacentral:rRNA from 1 species